CAGGUGUGUGCUUUGUCUUCGUAUGCUGGCCGACCAUCAAAACGGUCAAACUAGAACUGGUAUAGACUCAGGAAAUCCGACUGUAUAAUUAGAACCGAGGAGACAGGUGGUCCUUGUGAACGUCUACUGUCUCUGUUUUCUGCCCAGUGUCUGAAUGUUAAAUCGUAGUAAUUAAAUCGUAGUAGUAAGCGCAGGUAAACGGCGGGAGUAACUGCGACUUUCUUAAGGUAGCAAAUGCCUCAUCAUCCCACUGUACGUAUCUACUAUUUAGCGAAACCACAGCUAAGGGAAUGGGCUUGGCAAAAAUAGCCGGGAAAGAAGAUUCUGUUGAGCUUGACUCUACUUUGACAUUAUAAAGAGUCAUGAGAGGUGUAGCAUAGGUAGGAGACCUCGGUUGACAAUGAAAUACCACCACCUUCAUGGAUUCUUUACUUACCAUUAGGAAACUUAGUUUUCUAAUAUAAUCAAAAUUUGUUUGCACGAGAAAAAUGUUGAGUAGGGAUAUUAGAUAUCCGUUCGUUUAUAAGCCUGAAUUUAGAUGUUUGGUAUUCUACUGGGUUUUUU
rnacentral:ncRNA from 1 species